UACGUAGGGUGCAAGCGUUAAUCGGAAUUACUGGGCGUAAAGCGUGCGCAGGCGGUUGGGCAAGACAGAUGUGUAAUCCCCGGGCUUAACCUGGGAAUUGCAUUUGUGACUGCACGGCUAGAGUGUGUCAGAGGGGGGUAGAAUUCCACGUGUAGCAGUGAAAUGCGUAGAUAUGUGGAGGAAUACCGAUGGCGAAGGCAGCCCCCUGGGAUAACACUGACGCUCAUGCACGAAAGCGUGGGGAGCAAACAGG
rnacentral:rRNA from 1 species